GUUACAACAGAAGAGAAGAGCCAAGAUGAAGGGAGCUAAUCACAGAGCUGGAGGAAACACAGAUUUUGGAUCGUCCUCCACUCACUCUACCACUUUGUUUUUUCCUUGCCAGACUUCAUUUAAGGAUAAGAAAGAAGCCUGCUACAAGAGAGACAGCGGAAGGGAGCCUCAAAGACAUUUUUAUUAGGAUCUGCUAAUCAUGAGGGGGCAGACAAAAGAACCUGCAUUUUCCUUCAGCUUAAUAUCAGGGGUCGCCACAGCGUAAGGAACUGGAUAUUACUUUGACAUAUGUUUUACACAGCCUUCCAGCUGCAACCCAGCACUGUGAAACACCCAUACACUCUCGUAUUCACAGACACUUCUACACUAUGUUCAAAUUCACCUAUAGCACAAGUGUUUGGACUGUGGUGGAAACCCACACCAAAACAGGGAGAACAUGCAAACUCCACACAGAAAUGCCAGCGGACCCAGCCGGGACUCAUACCAGCAACCUUUUUGCUGUGAGGUGACAGUCUGAGCCACUGUGCUGCCCCAUAGUGUAGUUAUUAAUAACCUCCAGAUGUUUUACAGUUUGAUUUUGUAAUAAUAAUGCACGUUUAGAUUUAUUGUAAUAUGUUAAUAUUUAUUCGCAAUGUAAUUUAUUUUUAUGUUAUUUAUAAUAACGUUAAAUGUCAUAAGAAUGUUAUAAUUUAAUAUAAUAUUA